rnacentral:rRNA from 1 species
UGGGGAAUUUUGGACAAUGGGCGAAAGCCUGAUCCAGCAAUGCCGCGUGUGUGAAGAAGGCCUUCGGGUUGUAAAGCACUUUUGUCCGGAAAGAAAUCCUUGGCUCUAAGUACAGCUCGGGGGAUGACGGUACCGGAAGAAUAAGCACCGGCUAACUACGUGCCAGCAGCCGCGGUAAUACGUAGGGUGCAAGCGUUAAUCGGAAUUACUGGGCGUAAAGCGUGCGCAGGCGGUUUGCUAAGACCGAUGUGAAAUCCCCGGGCUCAACCUGGGAACUGCAUUGGUGACUGGCAGGCUAGAGUAUGGCAGAGGGGGGUAGAAUUCCACGUGUAGCAGUGAAAUGCGUAGAGAUGUGGAGGAAUACCGAUGGCGAAGGCAGCCCCCUGGGCCAAUACUGACGCUCAUGCACGAAAGCGUGGGGAGCAAACAGGAUUAGAUACCCUGGUAGUCCACGCCCUAAAACGAUGUCAACUAGUUGUUGGGGAUUCAUUUCCUUAGUAACGUAGCUAACGCGUGAAGUUGACCGCCU